rnacentral:misc_RNA from 1 species
UAAUAAGUGUUUUAUGGCACUUUUUAAAUCCAUAUCCACCUUGUGUGCAAUGUCAGUCGAUCUUCUUCAUGGAAGUCGGCCAAACAUCAACCUUAUCUUUUAACUCUUUGUCUGAAAAAUAUUAUGAAAAAACAAUUCAAAAUA